UACGGAGGGUGCAAGCGUUAUCCGGAUUCACUGGGUUUAAAGGGUGCGUAGGCGGGAUGGCAAGUCGGUCGUGAAAUCCCUCGGCUCAACUGAGGUACGUCGAUCGAUACUGCCGUUCUUGAGGGUUGCAGAGGAGACCGGAAUUCCCGGUGUAGCGGUGAAAUGUGUAGAGAUCGGGAGGAACACCGGUGGCGAAGGCGGGUCUCUGGGCAACUCCUGACGCUGAGGCGCGAAAGCGUGGGGAGCAAACGGG
rnacentral:rRNA from 1 species